rnacentral:rRNA from 1 species
GUCGCCAGCUCGUGUCGUGAGAUGUUCGGUUAAGUCCGCUAACGAGCGCAACCCUCGUCGUAUGUUAUAUGUGUCAUACGAGACUGCCGGUAAAAAGCCGGAGGAAGGUGAGGAUGAUGUCAAGUCAGCAUGACCUUUAUAUCCAGGGCUACACACACGCUACAAUGGUCUGUACAAUGGGUAGCCAAGCCGCGAGGCGGAGCCAAUCCUGAAAGCAGGCCUCAGUUCAGAUUGCAGUCUGCAACUCGACUGCAUGAAGCCGGAGUUGCUAGUAACCGCAGGUCAGCAAUACUGCGGUGAAUACGUUCCCGGGUCUU